rnacentral:rRNA from 1 species
GACGAACGCUGGCGGCGUGCUUAACACAUGCAAGUCGAACGGAAAGGCCCCUUUGGGGGUCCUCGAGUGGCGAACGGGUGAGUAACACGUGAGUAACCUGCCCUUGACUUCGGGAUAACUUCAGGAAACUGGGGCUAAUACCGGAUAGGAAUCCUUGCUGCAUGGUGGGGGUUGGAAAGCUUCGGCGGUUUUGGAUGGACUCGCGGCUUAUCAGCUUGUUGGUGGGGUAGUGGCUUACCAAGGCUUUGACGGGUAGCCGGCCUGAGAGGGCGACCGGCCACAUUGGGACUGAGAUACGGCCCAGACUCCUACGGGAGGCAGCAGUGGGGAAUAUUGCACAAUGGGUGGAAGCCUGAUGCAGCAACGCCGCGUGCGGGAUGACGGCCUUCGGGUUGUAAACCGCUUUCAGCAGGGGCGAAGCUUGUGGUGACGGUACCUGCAGAAGAAGCACCGGCUAACUACGUG